UGUUUCAAAGUGUUAAAUUUAUAUUUCGUUAGUGUUUUUGAGUGUUUUGAUUCAAGUCAAAACCCAAAUUUCGUCCAAAGUUGUGUUAGAGUCAAAUCUGCCCAGUAAGUGUUUUUAGGCAAUUUUGAGUGUUUUUUAAGUUGUUUUGCAUCUUUAGAAUCUGUUUUGAGUCAUUUGAGUCUAUUCAAACGUUUUUAACUUUAUUUUUAUGUCUUUGAGUUAGUUUAGAGGUUUUAGCAAGCCCUCCUAAUCCCCAGUUUAGAACGAUCCCUACUUGCAUUUAUACUACAAUUUGACAACAAGAGGGUUUAAUUUGAGUGCUUAACUUUCAUCGCAUCAAAUUUUGGCACCGUUGCCGGGGAUUAGCAAUUUUGCUAAUCCUUUGUUAUUUCUUUUUGUUUAUUUUCAUGUGUUUUUGUUCCUAGUUGAUGACUUUACUUGUUUUCUUGUUUUAGGUGGUUUAUGACUCGAAAUUCUCAACCUAUUCAUAAGCACAUCCGUGA
rnacentral:lncRNA from 1 species